CAGUAGCCGCGGUAAUACAGAGGGUGCAAGCGUUAAUCGGAAUUACUGGGCGUAAAGCGUGCGCAGGCGGUUCGUUAAGACAGAUGUGAAAUCCCCGGGCUUAACCUGGGAACUGCAUUUGUGACUGGCGAGCUAGAGUAUGGCAGAGGGGGGUAGAAUUCCACGUGUAGCAGUGAAAUGCGUAGAGAUGUGGAGGAAUACCGAUGGCGAAGGCAGCCCCCUGGGCCAAUACUGACGCUCAUGCACGAAAGCGUGGGGAGCAAACAGGAUUAGAUACCCGUGUAGUCCCUGUCUCUUAUAC
rnacentral:rRNA from 1 species